rnacentral:tRNA from 1 species
GCCGAAAUAGCUCAGAUGGGAGAGCGUCAGACUGAAGAUCUGAAUGUCAGUUGUUCAAUCCUGGGUUUCGGCA